UGUCUAAUUUAAGAACAUGAGUAAUGAAGUCGGUGGGACUUCGCAUGGGCUUAGGUAGCUUGCUGAAUGGGCACCUGGGAAUAAAAUGGGUGUCGUGUUUUAGUAUCCAUAUGCAAACUUUUACUUUUGUUGUUUGUAUCUCCUUUGUUCUGUGCUGUCUGGUUACUUUCCCUUCUGUUUUUCAUCUUGAAAGAUCUUUUCUGCCAUUAACUUGUACUGGGUCUCCACUCUUCUCCUUCGGGCUUCCUACAAGAGACAAACCAUCAUGCUGAAAUCCCUGUCACAGACUUUUUGAAACCAUGAGAACAAACAGGAGGCUUAUUAAAACCUUACUCUCUCAAUUUCCAAUUGUUCAGGUUUUCUGUACUAUUAUUACUUGUUCCUCUCUCCCCAAGAGUGUUGGCUUCUAGUCCAGCACAGUGUACUAGAAUGGAACUUAAUAUAGAAAGACACACAUCCUCUGGACAGGAGAGUGAAGGUACUUGCCUCAUUUCCAUCUAAAUGGAAUUUAUUUUAAUCGGUUACGGUGUUAUUAUCCAUAAAGCUAUUCUGGCCACCUACAGCUUUUGUUUGUUUAAUGGAGAGUUGAAGAUCAUUAGAGCAGAGAGCUUUAUGAUGAGGGCACACUUUAUUCACUGUAUAAAAAUAACCCUGUAUAGAUGGGUACUUUACCUGAGAUUGUUUCUUUUUAAUUUCUUCAGCUAUACACUUAUUAAAUUCCAUCUGAUCAUGUGUGUCUCUUACUUGUUGCAGAUGAGCUAGUCUUUGCUGUCCUUUCUGCCUGUCCUCCUCUGCCAUAGUCUGCAUCUUCAGGUUUGUCCUCUGCUGUGCGAGUUGCUUUGUUUUCAUUGUCUGAUUCUGCUUUAGGUCUUGUUCUUUUACCACCUUAUCUUCAUUCUCAAAAUGCUGCAGCAGCUUUUUCCUGGAGGAGAAGAAAAACCCAGUGAGUUAAGCAUUGUUCUGAAAAGAUUCAGUGUUUUUGUCUGUUCUUCUCUUAGCCUCAAAAUAAAUACACCUGCCUCGUGUAGCUUUCUCAGUG